rnacentral:rRNA from 1 species
AGUGAACGCUGGCGGUAGGCCUAACACAUGCAAGUCGAACGGCAGCACAGUAAGAGCUUGCUCUUACGGGUGGCGAGUGGCGGACGGGUGAGGAAUACAUCGGAAUCUACUUUUUCGUGGGGGAUAACGUAGGGAAACUUACGCUAAUACCGCAUACGACCUACGGGUGAAAGCAGGGGAUCUUCGGACCUUGCGCGAUUGAAUGAGCCGAUGUCGGAUUAGCUAGUUGGCGGGGUAAAGGCCCACCAAGGCGACGAUCCGUGGCUGGUCUGAGAGGAUGAUCAGCCACACUGGAACUGAGACACGGUCCAGACUCCUACGGGAGGCGGCAGUGGGGAAUAUUGGACAAUGGGCGCAAGCCUGAUCCAGCCAUACCGCGUGGGUGAAGAAGGCCUUCGGGUUGUAAAGCCCUUUUGUUGGGAAAGAAAAGCAGCAGGUUAAUACCCCGCUGUUCUGACGGUACCCAAAGAAUAAGCACCGGCUAACUUCGUG